CCUACGGGGGGCUGCAGUCGAGAAUCUUCGGCAAUGGGCGCAAGCCUGACCGAGCGACGCCGCGUGCGGGAUGAAGGCCUUCGGGUUGUAAACCGCUGUCGAAGGGGAGGAAAUUGUAGUGGGUUCACCCAUUAUAUUGACCGAUCCUUGGAGGAAGGGCCGGCUAAUCUCGUGCCAGCAGCCGCGGUAAUACGAGAGGCCCAAACGUUAUUCGGAUUUACUGGGCUUAAAGAGUUUGUAGGCGGUUCGGUAAGUGAGAUGUGAAAGCCCUCGGCUCAACCGAGGAAUUGCGUUUCAAACUGCCGGGCUCGAGGGAGAUAGAGGUGAGCGGAACUGAUGGUGGAGCGGUGAAAUGCGUUGAUAUCAUCAGGAACACCAGAGGCGAAGGCGGCUCACUGGGUCUCUUCUGACGCUGAGAAGCGAAAGCUAGGGGAGCAAACGGGAUUAGAUACCCCUGUAGUC
rnacentral:rRNA from 1 species